rnacentral:rRNA from 1 species
UACGUAGGUGGCUAGCGUUGUCCGGAUUUACUGGGCGUAAAGAGCGCGCAGGCGGUCGUUCAAGUCGAGUGUGAAAGCCCCCGGCUCAACUGGGGAGGGUCACUCGAUACUGAUCGACUCGAAGGCAGGAGAGGGAAGCGGAAUUCCCGGUGUAGUGGUGAAAUGCGUAGAUAUCGGAAGGAACGCCGGUGGCGAAAGCGACGUGCUGGACCUCUUCUGACGCUGAGGCGCGAAAGCUAGGGGAGCAAACGGG